GGCCUAUCAGCUUGUUGGUGAGGUAAUGGCUCACCAAGGCGACGACGGGUAGCCGGCCUGAGAGGGCGACCGGCCACACUGGGACUGAGACACGGCCCAGACUCCUACGGGAGGCAGCAGUGGGGAAUAUUGCACAAUGGGCGAAAGCCUGAUGCAGCGACGCCGCGUGAGGGAUGACGGCCUUCGGGUUGUAAACCUCUUUCAGCAGGGAAGAAGCGAAAGUGACGGUACCUGCAGAAGAAGCGCCGGCUAACUACGUGCCAGCAGCCGCGGUAAUACGUAGGGCGCAAGCGUUGUCCGGAAUUAUUGGGCGUAAAGAGCUCGUAGGCGGCUUGUCACGUCGGUUGUGAAAGCCCGGGGCUUAACCCCGGGUCUGCAGUCGAUACGGGCAGGCUAGAGUUCGGUAGGGGAGAUCGGAAUUCCUGGUGUAGCGGUGAAAUGCGCAGAUAUCAGGAGGAACACCGGUGGCGAAGGCGGAUCUCUGGGCCGAUACUGACGCUGAGGAGCGAAAGCGUGGGGAGCGAACAGGAUUAGAUACCCUGGUAGUCCACGCCGUAAACGGUGGGCACUAGGUGUGGGCAACAUUCCACGUUGUCCGUGCCGCAGCUAACGCAUUAAGUGCCCCGCCUGGGGAGUACGG
rnacentral:rRNA from 1 species